GGGACAUACUGUGGAGUUACUGGGUGGCCACCAUUUCAUGUAUCAGAGGCACAUGGUGAGAACAAUGGAUGAAGCACAUGGUGAGAACAAUGGAUGGCGGCUAUUUUAACUCACAGACAGUUUGGACUUUUCUACACGGUGCCAUCUCGCUGGUAUUUGGUGCACAAAGACAUCAUGCAGUAGUUUUAAACUAUACAACAGGGGACACAUUAUACAGUGAUUGUUUUUCAUUUAGCCUGUAUAUGUUCUGCGGAAUCUGCAUUAAACUGUAUCUUCCAAACUACUGAACGGAUCUGGGUGAAUUUUGGAUAUGUGGUUCACCCAGAUACCCCGGUUCCGAGGAUAU